rnacentral:rRNA from 1 species
UACGUAGGGGGCAAGGCGUUGUCCGGAUUUAUUGGGCGUAAAGAGCGUGUAGGCGGUCAGGUAGGUCCGUUGUGAAAACUCGAGGCUCAACCUCGAGACGCCGAUGGAAACCAUCUGACUAGAGUCCGGAAGAGGAGAGUGGAAUUCCUGGUGUAGCGGUGAAAUGCGCAGAUAUCAGGAAGAACACCCGUGGCUAAGGCGGCUCUCUAGUACGGUACUGACGCUGAGACGCGAAAGCGUGGGGAGCGAACAGG